ACUUGCCUACGGGGGGCAGCAGUGAGGAAUAUUGGUCAAUGGGCGGGAGCCUGAACCAGCCAAGUCGCGUGAGGGAUGACGGUCCUACGGAUUGUAAACCUCUUUUGCCGGGGAGCAAGCGUGCGUUCGUGAACGCGCGUCGAGAGUACCCGGAGAAAAAGCAUCGGCUAACUCCGUGCCAGCAGCCGCGGUAAUACGGAGGAUGCGAGCGUUAUCCGGAUUUAUUGGGUUUAAAGGGUGCGUAGGCGGGAUGCCAAGUCAGCGGUAAAAUUUCGGGGCUGCACCCCCCCGCGCC
rnacentral:rRNA from 1 species